GCCUACGGCCAUACCACCCUGAAAGCGCCCGUCUGAUCUCGGAAGCUAAGCAGGGACGGGCCUGGUUAGUACCUGGAUGGGAGACCGCCUGGGAAUACCAGGUGUUGUAGGCU
rnacentral:rRNA from 1 species